rnacentral:lncRNA from 1 species
AUACUGCUGUCGAAGCGUUUCACAGAAAAGAAAGCGAAAGAGAAUCUCGGGACAAACUUUUUGAGCGGAGCGGGCUGGCAGUGGGGGCAGAAGAGCAGAGCUGAGGAUGGCGGCGCACAGCCCGCCGCUGCUGGUCUGAGAGUCCUGGUGCCCUGGGGCCCCGACCCCCCCCCCCCCCCGAGGAACUUGGGCACCAAGCGGCAGGUGUACUUCCAGAGCGCGAGGAGAUCGAAGAGAUCCGGAGGCUGGGAGCGUGAGGUCCGCCCGGAGCCGGGCAGCCCAACCCGCUUCCUGGCGUUCUUUCUCCAGGAGGAUGUCAGGAGACCAAGGCAACAGGAAAGAUCACCUUUCAGACAUAAAUGUUAUAGCCUCAACCCAAACCAAAGAAGGUCUGAACCUUGUGUUGAUACGUGGGGAUGUUUUAUGUCUCACGGUAAGUGGUGCUAUUUAGUAAAUCCACCAGGGAAAAAUGGGUUCUAACUGGUAGUGUGAUUUAAGGUCAAAGAUUAAGAUCAUCUAAAUUUGCGAAGUUAAAUCCACCUGAGGAUUUAACUCAUGCAGGGCUGUAUUUACUAUCCCCUACAUUUAUUCAUGUGUACUCAUAGGAAGAGAUCCAAGUUUAACCACAAACCAGGGUGUGCAAAUCCACCCCUUUUAUUUCUCUGUAGCCUAUUUUGACCUACUUUCAACCCAGUUCUGUUUUUCUCUCUUGUUCCCAUUAGCAUUAAUGGGGAAGACAUAUGUACGUCACAUUGUAAUGUCACCCUUCACAAAAACACCCUGUUGCUCCUGCCUGAGCACUUUCCCAGGCAGAGGCACAAUGAGGAGGGAGAAAGGUCACAGUACAGGCACUACAUGCUCAGCCAGGAUCUUGCCCGCCUCUCCCCUCCUACCGCUUCCUUUUCCUUGGAAUCACCAGUUAGCAGGAGAUGCAGGCCCUAUAUCCCACCCCUAUUGACAUCCAUGACACUGAAUAUUGGCUGCACAUCAGAAUCAUCUGGGAACUUUUAAAAAUGUGGAAGCCCAGGCCCCAUCCCUAGAGAUCCUGAUUUUAAUUGGUCAGGUCUGUGGUCUAGCUAUCAGUAGUUUUUGAAGGUGUUCUAGGUGAUUCUAAUAUGCAGCUAGGGCUGAGAAUUACUGAUUUGGAUUGUUCUUCAGAAUUCUAUAGCACCCACAAUUUUGACACUUGAUAUUUACCUUCAGAGGGCACACAAUCCAGACUAAUAGACAGAGAACCCUUCUGAGAAAUUUGGAGACUCAUGGAUUAUGAGCCACUGGAAAUAUUCUUUGCUUUUGUUGCAGCUACUGAGAUGGCAGAGGAGAGACAAGCCAGCCGCUUUCUUCAUGUUCUCUAGAGUAAAUAGAGUCCUUAGACUUUUAGAGAUGGGUUCAGGACCUUGUCCUCAGAUCUGCAGGUUGAGAAGUUGAAUCUUAUCAUUUACCCAGACUUGAUCUGACUCACACUAAUCAAACUCAAGAG